GCGCGGAUGGUUUAGACUGGUAUAACGACACGCUCACACCGUGUAGGUUCGAGGGUUCAAAACACCGAUAUCUUAUAUCCCUCUCCGCGCA
rnacentral:tRNA from 1 species